CCAAAUUUAUUACAAAACUUGAUACAAAUGAAAUAGAGAUCCUCUCUACUUAUAUAUGAGAUUAUUUGCACUCCAAAUAAUUACAAAAUUACUAACUCAACUAAAACUAAGCUAAGUUAGUCUUCUUCGACUCUGUCGAGGUUGACUCAUUUGACAGCUACAUGCUUCGACAAGUUGUAAUUGACUUUCUGUCAAAUACAGUCAAUACAAAUUAUGUUUGACUCUUGUUGAACGCACACUAUUUCG
rnacentral:lncRNA from 1 species